UAAGAUUUUCACACAAAAAUAGAAAAAAAACAAUAAAUUUUUGGGGUUCCCCAUACUUUGAACUGAAACUCAAAAAAUUUUUUUUCAUCAAACCCAUACGUUCUAAAAUAAGAGAAUGAUAAAACUAAAAAAAAAUUAUGAUGUACAUUAUCAUGCAAACUUCCACCGAAAAUUGGUUUGAACGAGAUCUGGUAAGUAGUUUUUUUUAAUACGUCAUAAA